rnacentral:rRNA from 1 species
GAUGAACGCUAGCGGCAGGCUUAACACAUGCAAGUCGAGGGGUAUAGGUUUUCGGACCUAGAGACCGGCGCACGGGUGCGUAACGCGUAUGCAAUCUACCUUUCACAGAGGGAUAGCCCAGAGAAAUUUGGAUUAAUACCUCAUAGUAUAGCAGUUUCGCAUGAAACAACUAUUAAAGUAUCAACGGUUAAAGAUGAGCAUGCGUCCCAUUAGCUAGAUGGUAAGGUAACGGCUUACCAUGGCUACGAUGGGUAGGGGUCCUGAGAGGGAGAUCCCCCACACUGGUACUGAGACACGGACCAGACUCCUACGGGAGGCAGCAGUGAGGAAUAUUGGUCAAUGGACGCAAGUCUGAACCAGCCAUGCCGCGUGCAGGAUGACGGUCCUAUGGAUUGUAAACUGCUUUUGUACGAGAAGAAACAACAUUACGUGUAAUGUCUUGACGGUAUCGUAAGAAUAAGGAUCGGCUAACUCCGUGCCAGCCGCCGCAGUAAUAC